CCUCCGGGAGGCAGCAGUGAGGAAUAUUGGUCAAUGGCCGAGAGGCUGAACCAGCCAAGUCGCGUGAGGGAAGACGGCCCUACGGGUUGUAAACCUCUUUUGUCGGGGAGCAAAGAGAGUCACGUGUGACAUAUUGAGAGUACCCGCAGAAAAAGCAUCGGCUAACUCCGUGCCAGCAGCCGCGGUAAUACGGAGGAUGCGAGCGUUAUCUGGAUUUAUGGGGUUUAAAGGGUGCGCAGGCGGAGGUGCAAGUCAGCGGUCAAAUUGCGGGGCUCAACCUCGCUCCGCCGUUGAAACUGGCGUUCUUGAGUGGGCGAGAGGUAUGCGGAAUGCGUGGUGUAGCGGUGAAAUGCAUAGAUAUCACGCAGAACUCCGAUUGCGAAGGCAGCAUACCGGCGCCCAACUGACGCUGAAGCACGAAAGCGUGGGUAUCGAACAGGAUUAGAUACCCCUGUAGUC
rnacentral:rRNA from 1 species